GACGAACGCUGGCGGCGUGCCUAAUACAUGCAAGUAGAACGCACAGUUUAUACCGUAGCUUGCUACACCAUAAACUGUGAGUUGCGAACGGGUGAGUAACGCGUAGGUAACCUGCCUGGUAGCGGGGGAUAACUAUUGGAAACGAUAGCUAAUACCGCAUAAUAUUAAUUAUUGCAUGAUAAUUGAUUGAAAGAUGCAAUUGCAUCACUACCAGAUGGACCUGCGUUGUAUUAGCUAGUAGGUGAGGUAACGGCUCACCUAGGCGACGAUACAUAGCCGACCUGGGGGGGUGGUCGGCCACACUGGGACUGAGACACGGCCCAGACUCCUACGGGAGGCAGCAGUAGGGAAUCUUCGGCAAUGGACGGAAGUCUGACCGAGCAACGCCGCGUGAGUGAAGAAGGUUUUCGGAUCGUAAAGCUCUGUUGUAAGAGAAGAACGGGUGUGAGAGUGGAAAGUUCACACUGUGACGGUAUCUUACCAGAAAGGGACGGCUAACUACGUG
rnacentral:rRNA from 1 species